rnacentral:rRNA from 1 species
GACGAACGCUGGCGGCGUGCUUAACACAUGCAAGUCGAACGAAGUGGCGAACGGGUGAGUAACGCGUAAUCAACCUGCCUUCCAGGGGGGAACAACAGUGGGAAACGACUGCUACUACCGCAUACUGAGGGAGGGAAUUGAGUCUGAUUAGCUGGUUGGAGGGGUAACGGCCCACCAAGGCGAUGAUCAGUAGCCGGUCUGAGAGGAUGAACGGCCACAUUGGGACUGAGACACGGCCCAGACUCCUACGGGAGGCAGCAGUGGGGAAUCUUCCGCAAUGGACGAAAGUCUGACGGAGCAACGCCGCGUGAGUGAUGACGGCCUUCGGGUUGUAAAGCUCUGUUAAUCGGGACGCGGUACCGGAAUAGAAAGCCACGGCUAACUACGUGCCAGCAGCCGCGGUAAUAC